GAUGAACGCUAGCGGCAGGCCUAAUACAUGCAAGUCGAACGGUGUCUCCGGACAUAGUGGCGCACGGGUGCGUAACACGUAUGCAACCUACCUUACAUUGGGGGAUAGCCUUUCGAAAGGGAGAUUAAUACCGCAUAAGACAGUAGCUGGGCAUCCAGCAGCUGUUAAAGAUUUAUCGAUGUAAGCUGGGCAUGCGUCCAAUUAGCUAGUUGGUGAGGUAACGGCUCACCAAGGCAAUGAUUGGUAGGGGAACUGAGAGGUCAAUCCCCCACACUGGCACUGAGAUACGGGCCAGACUCCUACGGGAGGCAGCAGUAGGGAAUAUUGGGCAAUGGACGCAAGUCUGACCCAGCCAUGCUGCGUGCAGGAUGAAGGCGUUAUGCGUUGUAAACUGCUUUUAUACAGGAAGAAACGACUCUUGCGAGAGGCAUUGACGGUACUGUAUGAAUAAGCACCGGCUAACUCCGUGCCAGCAGCCGCCGUAACAC
rnacentral:rRNA from 1 species